rnacentral:rRNA from 1 species
UAAUGUAUGGGGAUCUGCCCGAUAGAGGGGGAUAACUACUGGAAACGGUGCUAAUACCGCAUAAUGUCUACGGACCAAAGCAGGGGCUCUUCGGACCUUGCACUAUCGGAUGAACCCAUAUGGGAUUAGCUAGUAGGUGGGGUAAAGGCUCACCUAGGCGACGAUCUCUAGCUGGUCUGAGAGGAUGAUCAGCCACACUGGGACUGAGACACGGCCCAG